rfam:Camelus ferus unplaced genomic scaffold scaffold1303, whole genome shotgun sequence.
GAGGGUAUAGCUCAAAUGAUAGAGCGCAUGCUUAGCAUGCAUGAGGUCCUGGGUUCAUUUCCCAGUACCUCCU